CCUACGGGAGGCAGCAGUGGGGAAUAUUGGGCAAUGGGCGCAAGCCUGACCCAGCAACGCCGCGUGAAGGAAGAAGGCCCUCGGGUUGUAAACUUCUUUUAUCAAGGACGAAACAAAUGACACUACUUGAUGAAUAAGCCACUGCUAACUACGUGCCAGCAGCCGCGGUAAUACGUAGGUGGCAAGCGUUAUCCGGAUUUACUGGGUGUAAGGGGCGUGUAGGCGGGACUGUAAGUCAGAUGUGAAAACCAGCGGCUCAACCCAUGUACUGCAUUGGAAACUGUAGUUCUUGAGUGUUGGAGAGGUAGGCGGAAUUCCGGGUGUAGCGGUGAAAUGCGGAGAUAUAAGGAGGAACACCAGUGGCGAAGGCGGCCUACUGGACAAUAACUGACGCUGAGGCGCGAAAGCGUGGGGAGCAAACAGGAUUAGAUACCCCAGUAGUC
rnacentral:rRNA from 1 species